UCCGUAGGGUGCAAGCGUUGUCCGGAAUUAUUGGGCGUAAAGAGCUCGUAGGCGGUUUGUCGCGUCUGCUGUGAAAACUCGGGGCUUAACUCCGGGCCUGCAGUGGGUACGGGCAGACUAGAGUGCGGUAGGGGAGACUGGAAUUCCUGGUGUAGCGGUGAAAUGCGCAGAUAUCGAGAGGAACACCUGCGGCGAAGGCGGGUUGCUGGGCUGACACUGACGCUGAUGCGCGAAAGCCAGGGGAGCGAACGGG
rnacentral:rRNA from 1 species